CUUGACGAAACGGUUGGACGAUUAUAAACUUACUGAAUACGUCUGUUAUCACCAAUAGGCAUGUAUUCCUACAUUUACCCGAAGCAGGCAGUGGACCAACAUAGUUCAUUGUGAUAAACUACCAAGGAUAAUUCGCCAUCUUUUUCUGGGUAAUUAAUAGAGCAGUAGUAUUUACGUUGGUAGCCUUACUAGUUUGACAUGUAGUGCAGUUCUGACAAAAGCGUUUAAUUUCAGUAUUCAUUAGAGGCCAAAAAUGUUUUUCUCUCAGAGCGGCCAGAGUUUUCUCUAACCCAAGAUGGGUUUUAUUGCGCGUAUUCUCCACUAUAUAUCUUCUUUCGGCUUUUGGAGAAAUCUGGGUGACUCUGAGUGUUCGGAUCAGCCUGGGACACCAAUUUCAACAGCAGCUUUUCGUUGACAGCUAUGGCGCUCGUGAUUCAGGUACAGGCAACAAUCAUACAGCUCUAUUUCUACCACAUCUUCGCAACUUUAAAGUUCUGCGACUCUCUCAAAAAUAAUCAUAUCAACUUUUAAUUCUAUGCUAUCCAAUUCACUUUAUAUAACUCAAUUAACU